rnacentral:rRNA from 1 species
GACAGAGGUGCCGAGCGUUAGGCGGAAUCACUGGGCUUAAAGCGUGUGUAGGCGGGCGGGCAAGUACCUUGUGAAAUCCCACGGCUCAACCGUGGAACGGCUGGGUAUACUGCCUGUCUUGAGCCAGCUAGGGGCGAGCGGAACAGACGGUGGAGCGGUGAAAUGCGUAGAUAUCGUCUGGAACGCCGAAGGUGAAAACAGCUCGCUGAGGCUGUGCUGACGCUGAGACACGAAAGCCAGGGAGCGAACGGG